rnacentral:rRNA from 1 species
GAUGAACGCUGGCGGCGUGCCUAAUACAUGCAAGUCGAGCGGACAGACGAGGAGCUUGCUCCUCUGGCGUUAGCGGCGGACGGGUGAGUAACACGUGGAGAACCUACCUAUAAGACUGGGAUAACUUCGGGAAACCGGGGCUAAUACCGGAUAAUAUAUUGAACCGCAUGGUGCAAUAGUGAAAGACGGUUUUGCUGGCACGUAUAUAUGGUUCCGCGCCGCAUUAGCUAGUUGGUAAGGUAACGGAUUACCAAGGCAACGAUGCGUAGCCGACCUGAGAGGGUGAUCAGCCACACUGGAAGUGAGACACGGUCCAGACUCCUACGGGAAGAAGGCGUAGGGACCCUUCCGCAACGGGCGAAAGCAUGACGGAGCAACGCGGGGUGGGUGAUGAAGGUCUUCGGAUCGUAAAACUCUGUUAUUAGGGAAGAAGAAAUGCGUAAGUAACUAUAGACGCCUUGACGGUACCUAAUCAGAAAGCAACGGCUAACUCCGUG